GUGAGGAAUAUUGCGCAAUGGAGGCAACUCUGACGCAGCCAUGCCGCGUGCAGGAAGAAGGCGCUACGCGUUGUAAACUGCUUUUAACCGGGAAGAAACCCCAGGACGUGUCCUGGGUUGACGGUACCGGAGGAAUAAGCACCGGCUAACUUCGUGCCAGCAGCCGCGGUAAUACGAAGGGUGCAAGCGUUAUCCGGAUUCAUUGGGUUUAAAGGGUGCGUAGGCGGAGCGUUAAGUCAGUGGUGAAAUCCUGCAGCUUAACUGUAGACUUGCCAUUGAUACUGGCGCUCUUGAGUGCGCUUGAAGUGGGCGGAAUGUGACGUGUAGCGGUGAAAUGCUUAGAUAUGGCACAGAACACCAAUUGCGAAGGCAGCUCACUAAGGCGAUACUGACGCUGAGGCACGAAAGCGUGGGGAUCGAACAGGAUUAGAAACCCCAGUAGUCC
rnacentral:rRNA from 1 species